UACGGGGGGGGCAAGCGUUGUUCGGAAUUACUGGGCGUAAAGGGCUCGUAGGCGGCCAACUAAGUCAUACGUGAAAUCCCUCGGCUUAACCGGGGAACUGCGUCUGAUACUGGAUGGCUUGAGUUCGGGAGAGGGAUGCGGAAUUCCAGGUGUAGCGGUGAAAUGCGCAGAUAUCGGGAAGAACACCCGUGGCGAAGGCGGCUCUCUGGAACGCAACUGACGCUGAGACGCGAAAGCGUGGGGAGCAAACAGG
rnacentral:rRNA from 1 species